rnacentral:rRNA from 1 species
UACGGAGGGGGCAAGCGUUGUCCGGAUUUAUUGGGCUUAAAGGGCGCGUAGGCGGGGUCUCAAGUCUGGUUUGAAAGUUAGCUGCUCAACAGUUAGACGUGGCUGGAAACUGGGAUUCUGGAAUGGGUUGGCGGCUGCCGGAACGGGUCAUGUAGCGGUGAAAUGCAUAGAUAUGAGGCAGAACACCGAUUGCGAAGGCAGGCAGCUACGACGUGAUUGACACUGAGGCACGAGAGCAUGGGUAGCGAACAGG